GUAUUCGCUUCAGCGUUACGUAUACUGAAAGUGGAACAAUCCAGAGAAGAUUAUUGUCGCUCCCGAGCAAGGAUGACUUGCACAUCUAUGCAGCGUCCCACAUUACA